rnacentral:rRNA from 1 species
CCUACGGGAGGCAGCAGUGGGGGAUAUUGCACAAUGGGGGAAACCCUGAUGCAGCGACGCCGCGUGUGGGAAGACGGUCCUCUGGAUUGUAAACCACUGUCCCCAGGGACGAAGAUGACGGUACCUGGGGAGGAAGCUCCGGCUAACUACGUGCCAGCAGCCGCGGUAAUACGUAGGGAGCGAGCGUUGUCCGGAAUUACUGGGUGAAAAGGGAGCGUAGGCGGGACUGCAAGUUGGGUGUCAAAUCUACCGGCUCAACCGGUAGCCGCACUCAAAACUGCAGUUCUUGAGUGAAGUAGAGGCAGGCGGAAUUCCUAGUGUAGCGGGGAAAUGCGUAGAUAUUAGGAGGAACACCAGUGGCGAAGGCGGCCUGCUGGGCUUUUACUGACGCUGAGGCUCGAAAGUGUGGGGAGCAAACAGGAUUAGAUACCCGGGUAGUC